AAUUAAUGGUUCUAACUUAGCAGCGUUGAAUACAAUUCUUACUCUUAUGUGGCAUAUCUGGAAGGCAAGGAAUGGAUUUAAAUUUCAGGGCAAACACAAGGAGCCGUCUCAAGUAUGUCAUGGUGCUGAGGCAAUGAAGUGUUCAGGAAAAAAGACUUUGGUGCAGAUCCAGGUCAUUGGAGUCUCAGGCCCUUUUGGAGUCAAAUUCUUUCCACCAUUCCUGAAAGUUGGAUGCAGGUCACUUGGAUACCCAGGGAGAUCAACAGGAUGGCUGACAAGAUGGCGAAAGAAGCUAGAGCUAUGUUGCUUAAUGAUCCUAUCUAUAAUUGUCAAAAUGUCUCUCACCUUGCUUACCCAAAUAGAGGGUGUUAUGCCAAUGCUAUUAAGAAUAGCUUCAGUGGCACAAACUGUGUAAUCAAGCAUGUCUUGUGCUUCUAAUUAAUAAUUUUUAAUUAGAAGUUGGUCAAGUAUAUUGAACUUUAAAA